ensembl:lncRNA
CCGCUCUCGGCCGCGCCCCCCUCUAUCUACCCACCUCCGCCUGCGCCCGCCACCCCGCUCGCGUUCCCGGGGCGCGCGGGGCCGAGAGCCCAGUUCCCCGUGGUGGGGAAGGUGCCAAGCCGCGGGAGCUGGCGAUGAGCGGGAGUUGUGGCCAGCCCUGAGCAAAGACCUCGCCCGCCAGCCUCAGCUUCCCCGUCUGCCCAGUGAGGGGCAGGAAUGAGAUGAAAGUCCCCGUCCUGAGAUUCCAAGAGUGGGCCACAAAGGACAUCUUAGGCACUCGCCGUCGGGCUGAUCCCACCUCACUCCUCAGGCCAGAGCAAAGAGCCUCUCCACCUGGUCUUGGCCUUCCAGAGUCUGGCUGGAGUCCACAGAGGCUGCCCCUGACCAGCCGGGCUGUCAAGGCUGCCGACCGAAUGCCCAGGACCCUGAUGAGCCUCCCUGGGCCUUCUGCUGACCCCAGGAGUAUCCCCAUGAGGAAUACAGCAGGAACCUGGGCCCUCCCUGGGGACCUUGGCUUGGAUGGAAGGACCCAGGCCCCCACCUUUCCCUUCCUCGUGCCCACUGGUCCUGCUUGCCACUCACCUUGCCCAGGUGGGUCAGUGGGGUAGCCUUACGCAAGGCUGAAAGUCUCUAGGAGGCAGAAUCUGCAAGAGGAAUGUGACGGAGCCUGGCCUUUGGGCAUUAUGGCCCCUGGCUAACUACCUGUCAGGCCUAGUGCAGGGGCUCCUCCCUAGGGCCUCUUGAGAGGCAGGGCUGCCUUGGGAAGAAACUCGGCAUGGCCCCAAUGCCCGUCCCCCCCACCAGCCCAGGCUCCCAGAGUUUCAACACCACUGAGGCUGGGCCUCUGGGGACUGCUGAGCGCCCGGAAUGGAGUCACUUAAUCUCCCCAAGUCUGGUUUCCUCAUCUGUCAGUGGACUACAAAAAUAGGACCUGAGUCUCCUGCUGUGGGAGGGGGAAGGGGUGUGUACCAGAGGCCCCGCCUGUGGCCCCCUCCCUUGGUCGUGGUUCCCCUCUCCGCCUCCAUCUCCUGCUUACAGGGUCUGUCGAUUGGCUGACCCCCCUCAAGCCCCUCCACUGCGGCAGCUCCGUGAGAGCAGGGGUCCAUCCCCAGGGCCUACAAGGGGUCUGGAGUGAACCAAUGAAUGUUUUCUGCACCCCUGUCCCGUCCUCCAGACUCCAUCUGCAAACGUCAGUGCAGCCAGACCUGCUGCAGCUAAGGCAGCUGGCCCGCGGGAGGGAGGCCGUAAAGCCAUGGCCUUAAAGCCGCGUUAGGGCCAGGAUGGGGCCCAGGGUCUCGACUGCCUCCUCCUGGUUCACGCAGUCUUUACCCACCAUGCCCGUGGAGGCACAGAGCUGUUUGUUAUUGCGUUAUAGUUCGUACACAAGUCUCUUAAAAGUUUGAUUAUUGUGAGUCCUUCCCAGGAGACUGAUCAGCCCUCAGAACAAGAAAGAAAGAAAGAAAGAGAGAGAGAGAGAGAGAGAGAGAAAGAAAGAGAGAGAGAAAGAAAGAAAGAAAGAAAGAAAGAAAGAAAGAAAGAAAGAAAGAAAGAAAAGGAGUUUCUGUCUCUGCAAAGAAAGGCUGGUUUGCAGAGAGCUCUGGGUGGUGA